GUCGUCAGCUCGUGUCGUGAGAUGUUGGUUAAGUCCCGCAACGAGCGCAACCCUUGCUAUUAGUUGCUAACAGGUAGAGCUGAGCACUCUAAUGGGACUGCCGGUGACAAGCCGGAGGAAGGUGGGAUGACGUCAAAUCAUCAUGCCCUUUAUGACCUGGGCUACACACGUGCUACAAUGGAUGGUACAGAGAGCAGCGAGGCAGCGAUGUGGAGCGAAUCUCAAAAAGCCAUUCUCAGUUCGGAUUGGAGUCUGCAACUCGACUCCAUGAAGUCGGAAUCGCUAGUAAUCGCGGAUCAACACGCCGCGGUGAAUACGUUCCCGGGCCUU
rnacentral:rRNA from 1 species